UGAAUGGGGCAACCCACCUGAUUAUAUUCUGUUAUUAUCUAGCUUCGGUUAGAUAGUUAUCAGGGUGUAAAACCAGGUACUUAUAGACUGAAUACAUAGGUUUAUAAGAGCAAACCCGGGGAACUGAAACAUCUAAGUACCCGGAGGAAAGGACAUCAAUUGAUACUCCCCUAGUAGCGGCGAGCGAACGGGGACCAGCCGAGCCUCAAUUGUGAAUAGAAUGGUCUGGAAUGGCCAACCAUAGUGGGUGACAGUCCCGUAUAUGAAGCAUGAGAGGACGUAUUAAGUAGGGCGGAACACGUGAAAUUCUGUCUGAAGAUCGGAGGACCACGAACGAAGGCUAAGUCUC
rnacentral:rRNA from 1 species